UAGGAAGUGGUGUAGAGGAAGCACUGAGAGUUUUGAUCUCUCCAGGUGGGGUUCAAGUCCCCUCUUUCUAA
rnacentral:tRNA from 2 species